GCCGGGUGCGGUGGCGCGUGCCUGUAAUCCAAGCUACCAGGAGGCUGAGGCUGGCGGAUCGUUUGAGCUCAGGAGCUCUGAGCUGCAGCGGACUAUGCCGAUCGGGUGUCCGCACUAAGUUCGGUAUCGAUAUGGUGCUCCUGGGGGAGCUCGGGACCACCAGGUCGCCUAAGGAGGGGUGCACCGGCCCAGGUCGGAAACGGAGCAGGUCAAAGCCCCCGUGCCGCUCAGUAGUGGGAUCGCGCCUGUGAAUAGACGCUGUAGUGCAGCCUGAGUAAUACAGCGGGACCCAGUCUUU
rnacentral:SRP_RNA from 1 species